GAGCCGUAAACUGUCAGGUCUGUCUUUCUGGAAGGAAUGUGACAUUCUGGCCAUAUCGUCUCCCAGAAGAGGCUGUUUGCAGGUAGCCUGAGCCAUCCCUUCAGAAUAUGUUUAGAUCGAUACACAUCACACGUGAUGCCAUGCAAAGGCACAUGACCCACCCCUCGUUUUCUCUGCACCCUUGAAAACACUGCCUUGGAGCCCAGUGCUCCUGAGCUUUAGAAGCCACCUUCUCAUGAUUCUGUACACAGCAGCUGUAAGAGAAACUCUGAGGGCCCACUCUCAGGGAGACAGGAAGGCUGGGGAGCCAGAGGCCAGGUGAGCUGGGGCCAGGGCAAGAGGGUCAGUAAGAAACAGGGCCCCCUUCCCCCUGGGCUUCGGGGAUCCAGCUAACUGGCUGGAAAUGCACCUUUGCCUGUGGCUUCUUGCCCAAGACCUGGCUAGCUUGGCUUUCCUGUUUGCUGUACAUGUUGGGAUUGACUUCAUAUUCUGCCUAGAGACUAGGACCCAUGAAGAAGGGGCCCAGGCCCUUUCUUUGUCACCUUUCAAGCCUAUUAAUGGUUGUUAUGGAAUGAAUGCUAGUGAAAUUCAUAUGUUGAAGCUCUAACCCCUUAUAGGAUGGUAUUUGGAGAAGGGGAUCUUUGGGAGGUAAUUAGGUUUAGAUGAGGUCAUGAGGGUGGGGUCCUCACAAUGACAUUGGUGUCCUUAUAAGAAAAGGGAGAGACCAGAGCAUGAUUUCUCUCUCUCUGUCUCUCUCGCUCUCUCUCUGUUAUGUGAGGAAACAAUAAGAUGGUGGCCAUCUGCAAGCUAGUAAAAGGGCCCUCUGGAGAGCCUGACCAUCCUAGUCUGGGAUUUCCAGCCUCCAGAACUGUAAGAGAUAAAUUUCUUUCUUUCUUUCUUUUUUUAUGGAGUUUUGCUCUUGUUGCCCAGGCUGGAGUGCAAUGGCUCAAUCUUGGCUCACCACAACCUCCGCCUCCUGGGUUCAAGCAAUUCUCCUGCCUCAGCCUCCCGAGUAGCUGGGAUUACAGGCAUGGGCCACCACACCCGGCUAAUUUUGUAUUUUUAAUAGAGACAGCAUUUCUCCAUGUUGGUCAGGCUGGUCUUGAACUCCUGACCUCAGGUGAUCUGCCUGCCUUGGCCUCCCAAAGUGCUGGGAUUACAGGCGUGACCCACCAUGCUCGGCUUAAUUUCUGUUGUUUUUAACCACCUAGCCUGUGAUAUUUUUUAUUGCUGCCUGAGCUGACUAAGACAAUGAUGCUGCAAGAAACCUUGCCACCAGAGCAGCUAAGAUGAACCCCCAUGGAGCCACUGCCAUGCAGCAUGGUAGUUCAAGCUGGGGCAGGCACCAGUGCCUCCCAUCCAUUCUUUCAGGUAUUCAUUCUUUUUUUUUUUUUCUCAGAGGCAGGGUCUCUCUUUGUUGCCCAGGCUGAAGUCAUACUCCUGGGAUCAAAUGAUCCUCCCACCUCGACCUCCAAAGUAGCUGGGACUGCAAGUAUGUGCCACUGUACCUGGCUUAAUUAAAAAAUCUUUAGCUGGCACCUACCCUAUGCCUGGCCCUGCACUAGGUGCUGUAGGGUGCACAGUAGGCCCAGGCCUCAACUUUGUGGCGCUUAGUGGCUAGUAGGAAGGAGCCUUGCUGAAGAAUCAUACACAUGGAAAGUGAGACACAAUAGAAUUUUUUAAACCCCAGGAUAUUGUGAACACCUAUAAGACUGAGUAAGGGGCCAGGAAAGAACUCCAAGGGGGUGAUGUUUAAGUCUGGACACCAAGAAAAAGAAGGCACCAGCUAGGCAAAUAGUGAAGGGGAGAUUGGUGCAGGUGGAGGGAUGAAGUGAAUUCCUGCUUCCCAGGCAGGGCAUUUCCAAACUCUUUUGUCUUAGCAGAGUGUGGCUUUUUGAGGUCUGGAUGCCUGUUGGCUUCUACUGCCCUAACAAACUCUCUGACUACUGCCAUCUGGGCUUUGCAUCAGAGUCACCAGAAAAACUUGAUAAGAUGCAGAUGCCUGGGCUGCACCACCCUUUGAGACUUUAAGCAGGUCAUGGUGGGGUCCAGGAAUCUGCAUUUUAACAAAGCCCCCAGGUGGAUCUGCUACAAGUAGUCUGCUGUUCUGUGAAUGCUUCUUUGAAGGCACUGGCAGGAUAAAGUCUAAAUGCCAUGGCAUAACCUGCGUGACUCUUCAGCUUUUCCUGUCUAUUGUUAUAGCUGUCUCGCUAGUCACCUUCCUCUAGGCUUCUCAUGCCCACUCCCACCACACCUAUCCUCCACAACAUGAGUAAUCAUUCUCUAACCCAAACCUAAGCUUCCUACCCCUUUGCUUAGAACACCUUCUUUUAUUCCUUUUUCCUUUCACAAUAGAUCCCCAUUUCUUAACAUGGUAUCAAUCAUGCUUCUGCCACUUCCCAUUUACUCUCUUCACCUUCAUACCUCAAACAGUACCUGACGCUGGGAAGACAUUGAACAGAUAUUUAUUUAAUUGCUACAGUAAUGGGACUUAAAUAUGUCAUAUUUCACUGAAAAACCUGGGGAUAUUUCAAGUUAUAAAAAUCAUGUCCAGGAGGGAAAGAACUGUCUUUAGUUAUCGGAAGUCCUGUGUCAUGUGGAAUCCUUGUUUUGAGUGGCCCUAGGACCAAGGAGUGGAAGUCAUAAGAAGUCAGAAUUUACUCAAUAUAAGGGAUCAUGUGCCAUUUUUGCAAGAUAUAAUGAUCUGCUUCAAAAAAUGGUAAGUUUUCUGUCUCCUGAGGUAUUCUAGCAUUGACUCUGUGGCAGGCAUUUGGUGAAAAUACUCAAGCAUUGGGUGAAAAUACUCAAGCAUUGGGUGGAAUUUGGACAAAACAACCUACUAGUGAAAUCACAGGAUUCUAUGAGGAAGUAAAAGUGAAGAGGGGAAGAAAAUAAUCUCUCCAUUCCAGGGAAAUAGAAUAUUGUGGUUAAUUAUCAUGUCACUAUGCAACAUGCAUGAAAUGCUUAUUCUCCAUACCAUAAAAUAGACCUAAUAAUAAUAACCCUUAGUUUUUCUUUGAUGAUCCAGAAAUUAAUUUGGGCUCUUGCAAUGUCUAGGGGUUCCCGUUAUAAACAUUAAUUUUUAUUAUAAUAGUGACAUGUGGAAAUGCCAGUUAAAAUCUCUGCCAGAAUGUCAAAUAAACAUGCUUUAUUACUGUAACUAAAGAAAUAUUCUAGAAAAAAAAUUUAAAAAUGUAUCAUGCAGAGACACAAUAGCUUUCCAACUCAAUUUAGUAUAUACAAAAAAAUUACCUUAGGACAAAGAGCCAUGCCAUCACAAUCUAAAGAAUAACACUACAGAUUAGAAGACUCAUUUGGCUGAAAUACAGCUAAUAACAAAAGCUAAUGACUUAGUCUUCUUAGGUGGCUAUAAAAAUACCAUAGACGGGAUGGCUUAACAACAGAAAUUUAUUUCUCAUAGUUCUGAAGGCUGGGAAAGAGCCUUCAAGAUCAAGGUCUUGGCAGAUUCAGUGUCUGGUGGGGCCCCCUUCCUGGUUUACAGAUAGCUACCCUCUUCUUGUAUCCUCAAAGCAGAAAAAGAGAGAGAAAGAGAGGUCUCCUCUCUUUCUCUCUCUCUCUCUUUUAUGGAAAGCGGGGGCAAGGAGUUUCUCUCUGUCACCCAGGCUGGAGUGCAGUGGCAUGAACAUGACUCAUUGCAGCCUGGACCUCCUAGGCUCAAGCAAUCCUCCUGCUUCAGCCUUUGAAGUAGCUGGGAAAACAGGUAUGUGCCACCAUACCCUCUUUCUCUUCUUAUAAGGGCACGAAUCCCAUUAUGAAGGCUCCACUCUCACGAAUUAAUAGCUAACUGUAAUUACCUCCUAAAGACUCCACCACCAAAUACCAUCACAUGGAAGAUUAAGUUUUUAACAUAUUAAUUAGGGAGAUAUAUUCAGCCAAUAGCAACCAAAAACUGCUGCAUAGUUGUCAAUUAAACACCAAUUUCC
rnacentral:lncRNA from 10 species